UACAGAGGGUGCAAGCGUUGUUCGGAAUUAUUGGGCGUAAAGAGCUCGUAGGCGGUGUGUCACGUCGGCCGUGAAAACCUGCAGCUUAACUGUGGGCGUGCGGUCGAUACGGGCAUCACUGGAGUUCGGCAGGGGAGACUGGAAUUCCUGGUGUAGCGGUGAAAUGCGCAGAUAUCAGGAGGAACACCGGUGGCGAAGGCGGGUCUCUGGGCCGAUACUGACGCUGAGGAGCGAAAGCGUGGGGAGCAAACAGG
rnacentral:rRNA from 1 species